GAUACUCUGCAAAUAAUUGAAUAGGGGAUUUAAUUGGAGUGUUCAUUAAGAAGUACAUAGUAUAUCAGAUUUGAGUAUGUUUUACUUACAAAAAGCAAAUUAACUAGCAUGGUAAGUGUCUGACAAUAAAAAAAUAUAUUGUUAAGCAUGUUUCAUGGUGGAAAUUCAAGUUCACUCAGAUCGGUUCACCCACAAAAUUGACCAGAAGUUCUCAGGUUUAAGGAUACUAUUUUUAUUUUGGGUCUUUUCUAGCGAUUGUCACGCUUAUGGUUCAUGUUUUGUUUUGGUCAUGCUAUGUUUAGUGUUUUGGACAUUUAGUUCUGUUUUGCAUUUCCUUGUUUGUCUUGUUACCAUGCCAACUGAUUUAGUUUUCAUCUGUCAUGUCUGAUCAUGAGUUUUGAUUGGCCAUACUAACCUGAAUAUCCCCAUCUCAUCUGUUCUCAAAACUAAGCAGUGUCUGGCCUGGUUAGUACUUGGAUGGGAGACUGCCUAGGAAUACCAGGUGCUUUGGACUCCAAGUUCCUUUUUUUUUUUUCACUCCCUGUUGUGUUACCAUGACGACCAAUCAGUUCACCUGUCUUGUCUCACACCUGUUUUCACUUAUCAUGUUGAUUAUUUAAGCCACAGUUACCAAGUAGUCAGUCUGGCAACUUCACCUCCUUCACAACCUCGAUUAUCUGCUUCAUGCCUUGCUAUGCUGUUCAUUUUGUCCACACACCGGAGCAGGUGGGAGAGCAUGAGUUAAGAAGAAAUGACACGGGAGGCUGCAGUCAAAAGUCUUGGCACAUCAAAGGAGGAGGAGAUUGGUGGACAGCAUAUAAUAGAAUCCCUACAAAGUUGUCUUGAGAGUUUGUUGGAUGAUUGGCCAGACUGAGAACAACAGAGCGUCAAACAAGCAAGGUGACGAAUCAACACAACUAAAGAAGCCAGAUGUGCUUGGAGAUGAGUCUUUGCACAGCUGCUAGUUCCCAGCUUUGUGACUGCACUGCUGCUGCUGCAACAUGUGCAACCUGAAGACCCAAAGCACAAUGCUGGGAGUUUGCUUUCCAAAAUAAAGUGGACCUUGCAUUAAACAAUAACAUUGUCAGAUCUGGACAAGCAGACAUAAAAUAUAAGUCAUGCCUCGCAAUUACUGUUUUGUAUGUAACACAAAAAUAAUACUUAAACGUGUGAAUGUGAGUGUGAAUGUUGUCUAUCUGUGUUGGCCCUUCGAUGAGGUGGCGACUUGUCCAGGGUGUACCCCGCCUUCCGCCCGAAUGCAGCUGAGAUAGGCUCCAGCACCACCUCGAGACCCCAAGAGGGACAAGGGGUAGAAUAUGGAUGUAUGGAUAGUGUCUUUUAUUGACAAUUUCAUAAAAUACAUGAAAUGUUUUAUACUAUUGCACAAUACUGUUUAUAUAUAUAUAUAUAUGGCCUUUUACAGUUAACUCUAUUGAUUUCAUUUUUAAAACAGUUUAUGUUUAACACCCUCACAAUUUCAAUAAAUGCCUGAUGUAUGGAAAAGGUGAACAGUUUUUAGUCACACCUGUUUUUUAACAGAGAAGGUGCAUACUACCACCUUGUGGAAAAUGAUCUAAAUUACAUUUGCUAACCAGUUGUCCACACCAAAGGUUCUCAAACUGGAGUCAUGGAAGCCCCAGUAGUGUUUGAACCAUAGGUUAAAGUUAAAGUACCCAUGAUUAUCACACACACACACUAGGUGGGGCGAAAUUAUUCUCUGCAUUUGACCCAUCACCCUUGAUUGUUGGAGGUCUAAAUGUUUUUACAAUAAUUGAAAGUAUGACAUAAUUGUUAAAGUGUGUUAAUAUUUAUAGGAAGCACUUGUCCAAUAAAGCAAAUAUUGUGGGCCAAUUACUUACUUGAAAUUGCGGUCAAUGAAUUUAAAAGUGAUGUUAAUGUAAUGCAGCAGAGAAAUCACUAUUUGCUCCAAACUCAAUAAGUGUGUAACUGCUGCGGAAUGAAAAACACAUGAGAUAAAUAAUUUAAGCUAUCCAUUUCAAUAAGGGAUGCAAAGA